AACGCACGAGACCUGCGGACCUGCGGAGGGAUCAUUAUUGAAAUCCUUCCAAGGAUGUUGCUGGUCCUUAGGGACAUGUGCACUCCGCCUUUCUAUACACCUGUGAACUUAUUGUAGGUGCAGAUGUAACAAGUCUGUUACCUAUGUUUUUUAACACACCCUUUUAAAAUGUAUAAUGGAAUGUUGAUGGAUAAUAAUAACAAUACAACUUUUAGCAAUGGAUCUCUAGAUCGGAAGAGC
rnacentral:misc_RNA from 1 species